rnacentral:tRNA from 1 species
UGGGGUGUAGCUCAGUGGUAGAGCAUGUGCUUAUCAUGCGUGAGAGCCUGGGUUCACUCCCUAGUACCUCCA